UACGUAGGGGGCAAGUGUUGUCCGGAAUCAUUGGGCGUAAAGCGCGUGUAGGCGGCUUGGUAGGUCCGCUCUGAAAGCCCGGGGCUCAACCCCGGGAGGCGGGUGGAUACUGUCAAGCUCGAGUCCGGAAGAGGCGAGUGGAAUUCCUGGUGUAGCGGUGAAAUGCGCAGAUAUCAGGAGGAACACCAAUGGCGAAGGCAGCUCGCUGGGACGUGACUGACGCUGAGACGCGAAAGCGUGGGGAGCAAACAGG
rnacentral:rRNA from 1 species